rnacentral:rRNA from 1 species
CCUACGGGAGGCAGCAGUAGGGAAUAUUGGUCAAUGGGCGAAAGCCUGAACCAGCAACGCCGCGUGCGCGAUGAAGGCCUUCGGGUCGUAAAGCGCUUUUGGGAGGGAUGAAAAUGACAGUACCUCCCGAAUAAGGAUCGGCUAACUACGUGCCAGCAGCCGCGGUAAGACGUAGGGUCCAAGCGUUAUCCGGAAUUACUGGGCGUAAAGGGCGUGUAGGAGGUUGGGCAAGUCGGCCAUGAAAGCUCCCGGCUCAACUGGGAGAGGCUGGUCGAUACUGCCUGGCUAGAGGGCAAGAGAGGGAGGUGGAAUUCCCGGUGUAGUGGUGAAAUGCGUAGAUAUCGGGAGGAACACCAGUGGCGAAGGCGGCCUCCUGGCUUGUACCUGACUCUGAAACGCGAAAGCAUGGGUAGCAAACAGGAUUAGAAACCCUGGUAGUCCAUGCCAUAAACGAUGUCAACUGGGUNUCGGCGAGUAAAAUUUGUCGGUGCCGAAGCUAACGCGUUAAGUUGACCGCUGNGACACGANGCAGAUAAACUAAUANAUAGAGCNGAGACGNGCGAGACGACGACGAGGAGUAG